CCUAGGUUGAAAGCAAACAUGGCAUUCUGAUGUCAUCCAUGAUGUCACAAACAAGAUAAGCUCAAAUGAUCAAAAAGUGAGGAACAGUUAACAGUCAGACACAGUCUGAACAAAGUCAGGAUGGAUCUUCAUAACUGCAACGCAGUGGAAUUCACCUGACUAUCUGUCACCAAGACUCUCAGUGGCUAGGACUUCAAAUAUUAAGAAGUGAAGCAAUUGGCAGAACUUUCCUUCAUGCCUGGAGGUUCUCAGGAUGUUAAUGCUUCAAUUUCCCUUUGAUUUAUCAGGGUCUUUUGAGCCACCCCUCUCCGCACAAUAUUUAUUGUAUGUUUCAUUGUGUACCUCAGUGCUUAUUAUUUCCAGUAAAAUUCAGUAAAAUACCUUUAUUAUUGCCAAUGGAUUUUCACAGCACAGUAUGUGAGCUUUUGAGUUCCCACAGACCUCUUUCUCUAGCCGGAUGGUUUUCCUGCUGUGUCACACUGUUUUCCAUUUUCACUUCUAUAAUGUGUGAAGAAAAGCUUCCAAGUGAAGUGAAAUUCAAACCAGACUUCCUUUUUUUAAAAGUCCCUAUACAUUUUCUUCCAUGAAGUUGUAAGCAUCCUCUUUGGAGAAUUACAAUCUGUCAUGCAACCCAAUGGGUCACGUCUACUCAUAAUUAAGAUCCAUUGAGUUCAAUGGAAUUUAUUCCCAUCUCAGGAAACAUUGUAUAGGCUUGUAACUGUAAUCAUAAUUUAAUCAUUCUUUCACAGCUUUCUUUUUUAUCAAAAUGCAUAGGGUGGCAAUUGGCCAAGUCACACUCAGACUGAACAUAACUUAGUCCAGGGUAGGGAUAUAAUAAAAAGGAUUAUAAGAAAGAGGGAGAAGGGAGAGCAGGCUUAUCUACACAGAAUUUACUUCACUUGAGAAUCAUGGAUAUUGAUUGUGUGAACAUAGUCUGUAACAUUGUGCCAACCCAGAGGUCAACAUAAUAAUAUGCUAUAUUUACAAAAACAAUGUAUGCAAGUUAAUACAUUAGCAGGAUUUUUUUUAAAAAACAACUCUUGUAAUGUUAUAUAUAAUGUGUAAACUUGGAGGUAAUUAGAGAUAAAGAUUUUAUUGACAUGCAUAAAUGAAGAUAAUACAAAGGAACCAGGGGAGGGA